GACGAACGCUGGCGGCGUGCUUAACACAUGCAAGUCGAACGGAAAGGCCCUGCUUUUGUGGGGUGCUCGAGUGGCGAACGGGUGAGUAACACGUGAGUAACCUGCCCUUGACUUUGGGAUAACUUCAGGAAACUGGGGCUAAUACCGGAUAGGAGCUCCUGCUGCAUGGUGGGGGUUGGAAAGUUUCGGCGGUUGGGGAUGGACUCGCGGCUUAUCAGCUGGUUGGUGGGGUAGUGGCUGACCAAGUCUUUGACGGGUAGCCGGCCUGAGAGGGUGACCGGCCUCAUGGGGACUACGAGAGGGCCCAGACUCCUACGGGAGGCAGCAGUGGGGAAUAUUGCAGAAUGGGCGGACGCCUGAUGCAGCAACCCCGCGUGCGGGAUGACGGCCUUCGGGUUGUAAACCGCUUUCGCCUGUGACGAAGCGUGAGUGACGGUAAUGGGUAAAGAAGCACCGGCUAACUACGUG
rnacentral:rRNA from 1 species